UUUGUGUAUUAGUGAAAAUUUAAUAAGUUUUAGUUAAGAUUUUCUUAAGUUUAGUUAAAAUUAUCAUGUUUUAAUUCAAUUAGUUAAGCUAUAAAAUCAAUUGGUUAAGCAAUGAAAUGAAUUAGUUAAAGCAAUGAAACCAAUUAGUUAAGCCUGAAAUUCAUUUAGUUAAGCACUUAAACUAAUUAGUUCAGCAAUGUAACCAAUUAGUUAAGUAAUGAAACUGAUUAGUUAAGUAAAGAAACGAAUUAGUUAAAGCAAUGGAACCAAUAAAUUUACAAAUAUAAAGAAAGUAUUUGUUAAGCCUAAACUUGAAUUAGUUAAGCAAUGGAACCAAUUAGUUAAGGAAUAAAACCAAUUAGUUAAGCAAUGAAACCAAUUAGUUAAGAUUUUCUUAUGUUUAGUUAAGCCUGUAAUUCAAUUAGUUAAACAAUGCAUGGAACCCAAUUAGUUAAGCACUAGAAUAAUUAGUAUUGAACCAAUUAGUUAAGCAACGGAACCAAUUAGUUAUAAUUUUCGGAGUUUUUAUUAAUGAUAAUUUUAUUUAGAAAUCAUAACUAUUCGACUCAUAAGUUUAACUAUUUUUCUUUAUACCUUAACUAUUUUGUUAGUUAAGAUUUUCUUAGGUUUAGUUAAGAUAAAUUUUUCGUGUUUUAGUUACGUGUUUCUGACCAUAUAAUUCUCUAUUUCUUUGACAUUCGAAUAUGAAACCACUCCAUUUCACUGCAAUAGCUGCCAAACUCUAUUAGUUAGACUCCAGGCUGCAAAAAUGUGUACAUGAAAGACCUUGAACUCUUCUUGGGGCUCACGAGGGUCCAACAGACUUAACUGAGACAGAUUCGGUAAGUGAGAGUGAAAUAACAGGGAACAAGGCUGAGAGGUGCUGAUUUUGGGACAUGCAGUUCUACCAUAAUACCACUCCACAUUGCAACAUGAAAUUGUACUUUAUAUUACUACUACUCAAUGAAUGAUCUGCCAAUUCUGUUCCAAACUAGCUAUUAUUGAAUAGUAUUUUUGAGUUUUAGUUACGUAUUUUUGAAACCAAAACUAAUAAGUUAAGAACUGUGACCAAUUAGUUAAGCAUUUGCGCCAAUUAGUUAGACAAUGAAACUAAUAAGUUUACAAAUAUAAAGAAAACAUUUGUUAAGCUUGAAAUUCAAUUAGUUAAGAAAUGAAACCAAUUAGUUAAACACUAAAACUAAUUAGUUAAGCCAUCAAACUAAUUAGUUAAUUAAUAGAACCAAUUAGUUGAGCGUUGGAACUAAUGAGUUAAGCAGUUGAACCAAUUAGUUAAGCAAUAGAAUAAUUUAUUAAACACUAGAACUAAUUAAUUAAGGAAUGGAACCACUUAAUUAGUUAAGCAUUGGAGUUAAUUAAUUAGUUAAACAAUUAAACCAAUUAGUUAAGCAAUUGAACAAAUCCUAACCAUUUAAAAAGCAAGAAGUGCUCUAAAAUUUCCUUAUGAAUAGUUAGAUUACCAUUCUGCCCUUACAUUCCUUCUUGAAAAAAAUUCAUUUUCUCUUAAAAAGAGUGGAAUUACCGCCCUACCCUUCACACCCCAUCCCGCUUUUCCUGCCCCACAUUUGUUCACCUUCUGCUCUCUUCGUUCUCUCCUCUUCUUCGCUCUCUUUCUUAUAUUUCUGUCUCUCUUCUCUCGUCUCUUUUUAUCAUUCAUCUCUUUCUCUCUUAACACUCCGACUUGCGUGAUGCAAUCAAACCACACCCACUCAGCUCAAGGAUCUCAAGGAUGAAUUACUCUCCUUGCUAAGGUUAGCGGCGAUACUCAACAAGGUCUCCAAGAUGGGAGAACAAGUGGCGUUAUUGCUCCAAAAAACCUAUAGUUUGUUCAAAUAUUGUUGUUGUCAGGUAAUUACUUUUCUCUAUUGAUUGUUAUAGAUUUUGGGGAUUAUUUUUAUGAUAUGGGUUCUAUCGUCGAAAUUGUUUGAUUGAAACCCUUUCAUUUGUUUGAUUGAAACUUUUUAAUCUGUUUGAUUGAAAUUGUCUAAUUUGCUGAUUUUGAUUAUUAUUUUUAUAUGGGUAUUCGGGAAUCUUUGAAUAUUCUUCAAAUUUCUUUGAAUUUUCAGCUUAGACUUACUGGAAUUAACAACAUUUUGUACCCCUUAAUUGUAGACUUCUCUUUUGAUCUAUUUGGGUUUGAUUUCGAUUUAGGGUUCUUUUGGAUUUUUGAAUGUUUUCCUUUGAAAGAAAAAUUGGUGUUGUGUUUAAUUUUCAAUUCAAUGUAUUAUUAUUAAAAUUAUGAUCCUCAACUCCCGUACAUUGAAUGAACUUGGUAAAUUAUUAUGCUUAAGGGCCAAAUGCAAAAUUAGUUGGAUUACUCCUUAAUCUCUAGGUCUAGAAAACCCCAAUCAAAGUCUAUUAGGAGAAAGUUUAAUUGGUUUUGCAGGCCAUAUAGAAGACUUAUGUUUCUAAAACUACCUUAUUCUUCAAAGAAGAGGAGUUUGAGUAUUCACUGCAGACAGAGAGAUGCCAAUGGGAAUCCUAAAUGAAUUAGCCAACGUCGAGGUGUAUGAUUUGUUUUAUUGGAUAGAACUUUAUAUCUCAAUUUGUUUGUUGGCCCUCUCUAUGAAGAGACUUAAACACUUACUACUUGCUUUUAGGGAGUUUAUUGGUUAUGUUACGGUGAAUGUGACCUCGAGUUUCAUACUGCUGUUGGAGGUAUGCAUAUAGUUGAUCGACUUUUUCAACGCAUCCUUGUCAGAGAGUGUCAACAUCAAAAAAAUUCCGGUCAUUUUGUUGAAGUUUUCACAGGUUUUUGGCGUUUGGGAGUAGAGGUUUGCUGACACUUUAUUCACUCCAUCAUUUCUUCUAAUUUAUAUUUUAUUUCAAAUAUGUUUGACCUAAAUUUCUUGGAUAGUCUGCAAAAGUGUAGAAGAGCUAUUCCGUUGCUCACCUGAUAUAGCAUGUUAUGUGAAGUUGUUGACUUAUGAGAUUAUACCCUUACCAUCCACAUUAGCAACAUAAGUUGUUUGUCAUACAUUUGUGAGUGACUCAAAGGUAAGUUUCUAGAAUUGCAGCUUUAAUACUUGGAUGUGAGUAUUAUGUUUAUGUUUUUCAACUAUUUUAGCUUAAUACUACUUGUUGUAGAAGUAAGUUCUCCUUUUCCUUUUUGGACAUAUUAAGCCUUUGAUAAUUGAUUUUCUUUAAACUUAAGUGGUAAAUGGUGUUUCAGGGAGCUAAUUGAUGAUGACGAAAAUGAUAUUUUUAGGUUGAAAGAGGUACUUCUACAGUUCUACUUGUCUGUGAUAAACUAUAUUGAUUGUUUCUGGAGAAUUUUUGAAUUGAACCCAAUAUGGUGUUUGGGUGACUAAAUUUACUUACAUUGCAACUUGUAUGCUUUUUGCCUAUUUUUGUUUUGGUGGAGAAUGAUUUGAUUUAA